GAUGAAGAACGCAGCGAAAUGCGAUAAGUAGUGUGAAUUGCAGAAUUCAGUGAAUCAUCGAAUCUUUGAACGCACAUUGCGCCCGGCAGUACUCUGCCGGGCAUGCCUGUUCGAGCGUCAUUUCAACCCUCAAGCCCUGCUUGGUGUUGGGGUCCCACGGCCGCCGUGGGCCCUGAAAGGAAGUGGCGGGCUCGCUACAACUCCGAGCGUAGUAAUUCAUUAUCUCGCUUAGGGCGUUGGGCGGCGCUCCUGCCGUUAAAGAACCAUCUUUAACUCAAGGUUGACCUCGGAUCAGGUAGGAAUACCCGCUGAACUUAAGCAUAUCAAUAAGCGGAGGA
rnacentral:misc_RNA from 1 species